AGAGCGAACGCUGGCGGCAGGCCUAACACAUGCAAGUCGAGCGCCCGUAGCAAUACGGGAGCGGCAGACGGGAUAGUAACACGUGGGAACGCGCCCUUCGGUUCGGAAUAACUCAGGGAAACUUGAGCUAAUACCGAAUACGCCCUUACGGGGAAAGAUUUAUUGCCGAAGGAACGGCCCGCGUCCGAUUAGCUAGUUGGUGAGGUAAUGGCUCACCAAGGCUACGAUCGGUAGCUGGUCUGAGAGGAUGACCAGCAUCACUGGGACUGAGACACGGCCCAGACUCCUACGGGAGGCAGCAGUGGGGAAUAUUGGACAAUGGGCGCAAGCCUGAUCCAGCCAUGCCGCGUGGAUGAUGAAGGCCUUAGGGUUGUAAAGUCCUUUUAACGGGGAAGAUAAUGACGGUACCCGUAGAAUAAGCCCGGCUAACUUCGCGCCAGCACCGC
rnacentral:rRNA from 1 species